rnacentral:pre_miRNA from 1 species
AGUGGGAUAGCUGGGUCAAAUGGUAGUUCCAUUCCAAGUUUUUUGAGGAAUCUCCAUACUACUUUCCAGUGUGGUUGCACCAAUUUUCAGUCCCAUCGGCAAU